rnacentral:rRNA from 1 species
AUGAUACUUGUUCAGUCGUUGAGAGAUCUCAGUAGAUGGGAAUUGCUUUGUGCCAUCACCUGUGACGUCAGUAGUGUUAGAAGAGAGACCAAAGCGAGCGAGUUACACAGCUGCUGUGUACCACAGAUUAGGGGAAAACAUCUACUGCAAAUUUUGAUCAAUUCUUUUGAUGUCGGUUCUUUUUGUUAUCCUUUGCAGGAACACCUGAAAAUAGGAUUCAAUCCUCAAUUUUGUCUUGAAAAUUCAAUGCAACAUACCGUAAAAAAGCAACAUAUUUUUGAAGGCAGGAGUAUCGCGUCGACACACUCUGCCUGUGUCGAUGAAUUAAGAUCCGCCGAUCUUAUGCUCGGGAGGUUACCGUGGAAUAAUGUACAAAUGGGGGUUGUGUAUGAAGGGUCCUCCUAG